rnacentral:tRNA from 1 species
GCUCGUGUAGCUCAGUGGUAGAGCACUUCAUUGGUAAUGAAGAGGUCGGCAGUUCAAUCCUGCCCACGAGCACCA